rnacentral:lncRNA from 1 species
CUCGCCCUAUCCAUCCCUCCCCGACUCCACCGGCAACACCACAGAAACCACUCCCCUCUCUUAUCUCAGAACUGAAACCCCUCCUCGGGUGUUCGCUCCACGACCCCCUCACCCCUUCCCUUUUUGGGUUCGGGUUCCAAACCCAAAUCCGCAGGCCGCCUCCCCGAUAGCCCGGCCCACGCGCCAACCCCUUUGAGCACGGCCCAGGCCCAGGCGGCCACAGGACCGGCUCGGUCCAGGCCCGCGCGCCCGAGAGCGGCCCAAGCCCAAUCAGCAGCAGGCCCUGUUUCAGGCCCGAUCUAGCACAUUCUUUAGUCCAUUUCAGAAACCCAAGAGCCCCUUAUGCUGCAAAUCCAGGUCCAUAACUCCAGCUAGCUCCGUCCGUCGCCAUCUUCGUGCUCGAGACUCUACAACGGACACUUUCGGUUGACUGCAUCCACCACAG